rnacentral:misc_RNA from 1 species
UCCGGUUUGUCACCGGCAGUCUCGCAUGAGUCCCCAACUGAAUGCUGGCAACAUGCGACGGGGGUUGCGCUCGUUGCGGGACUUAACCCAACAUCUCACGACACGAGCUGACGACAGCCAUGCAGCACCUGUGUUGCGGUUCCCUUUCGGGCACUCCUGCAUUUCUGCAGGAUUCCGCACAUGUCAAGGGUAGGUAAGGUUUUUCGCGUUGCAUCGAAUUAAACCACAUCAUCCACCGCUUGUGCGGACCCCCGUCAAUUCCUUUGAGUUUUAAUCUUGCGACCGUACUCCUCAGGCGGCUCACUUAUCGCGUUAGCUUCGCCACAGACGGGGUCGAUUCCGUCUACAGCAAGUGAGCACCGUUUACAGCCAGGACUAC